UACAGAGGUCUCAAGCGUUGUUCGGAUUCAUUGGGCGUAAAGCGCACGUAGGCGGCAUUGCAAGUCGGAUGUGAAAUCCCUCGGCUUAACCAAGGAAGUGCAUCCGAAACUGCAGUGCUUGAGUACUUAAGAGGAUCGCGGAAUUCCCGGUGUAGAGGUGAAAUUCGUAGAUAUCGGGAGGAACACCAGUGGCGAAGGCGGGUCUCUGGGCCAAUACUGGACACUGAGGAGCGAAAGUGUGGGGAGCGAACAGG
rnacentral:rRNA from 1 species